rnacentral:rRNA from 1 species
UACGUAGGGUGCAAGCGUUGUCCGGAAUUAUUGGGCGUAAAGAGCUCGUAGGCGGUUUGUCGCGUCUGCUGUGAAAACUCGGGGCUUAACCCUGGGCCUGCAGUGGGUACGGGCAGACUAGAGUGCGGUAGGGGAGACUGGAAUUCCUGGUGUAGCGGUGAAAUGCGCAGAUAUCAGGAGGAACACCGGUGGCGAAGGCGGGUCUCUGGGCCGAUAUUGACGCUGAGGUGCGAAAGCGUGGGGAGCAAACAGG